rnacentral:rRNA from 1 species
ACUCAAAUGAAUUGACGGGGGCCCGCACAAGCGGCGGAGCAUGUGGCUUAAUUCGAAGCAACGCGAAGAACCUUACCUGGGUUGAACUACGCCGGAAAAGCCGUAGAGAUACGGUGUCCUUCGGGGCCGGCGAUAGGUGGUGCAUGGCUGUCGUCAGCUCGUGUCGUGAGAUGUUGGGUUAAGUCCCGCAACGAGCGCAACCCUCGUCCCAUGUUGCCAGCGGGUUAUGCCGGGCACUCGUGGGAGACUGCCGGGGUCAACUCGGAGGAAGGUGGGGAUGACGUCAAGUCAUCAUGCCCCUUAUGCCCAGGGCUGCACACAUGCUACAAUGGCCGGUACAACGGGCUGCAACCUCGCGAGAGGAAGCCAAUCCCUGAAAGCCGGUCUCAGUUCGGAUUGUAGUCUGCAACUCGACUGCAUGAAGUCGGAGUCGCUAGUAAUCCCGGAUCAGCAACGCCGGGGUGAAUACGUUCCCGGGCCUUGUACACACCGCCCGU